AACAUUAGGUCAUUAUCUCGAACAUGUCUCCACCGUCAUGUGUUACACUAGAAGAGAUCCAUGCUCAUUUUCACUCAAUACUGAUCCAAGGAUGGUGUUAUUUUGCUUGUGAUGAAGAGUUGAUAUUUAGUCAUAUCAAUAUUCGCACCCGAAAAGAAGAUAUGAAUUUUACUAUUGCCAAUAAUCUUUCAGUGAAGGUUUCUUUCUCUCAACGACCAGAAAUUGUUAUUGAUGAUACUAUAUCAUCUAUAGAAGAUAUAAAAAUGUAUAUGGAAACUCUGCAAGCCACUAUUUUAUGUGAAGGAACUGACAUACACUAUAGGUAUGAUAUAUUUUCUUUCAUUUCUUUUAAUAUAAAUUAAAAUCUCAUACUAUUACACAUUAGGUGAAAAUUGAAAAUAAACUUAAAGAUUCACCUAAAUUGAGGCUCCAUCUAGAACGUGACACCUGAAGUAAAAGCAAGCAUCAAUUACAUCUUUUAGUAGUAGUGUGAAAAGAAAGAGAGUAUCUACAUUACCUUUGAAAAAUUCCAAAUCAUCUUGUAAGUCAAAGAUAUGUUUUUUAGGUAACAGAUUUUUUUUUGUAAUUAUCUAACUGUAUGCAAAUGAACUUGUAAAUAAUGCAAAUACAUUUAUAAAGCAAUUUUAUGAAAUAAAAAAAUAUGAUAUUUUAA